GAAUAAUGAUGAGAAAAAUAUUUGCUAUCUGAUGUAAAUUGAUGGAUAAAAAUUCUACCACCUAGAUCUCUGAAUUC